UACAGAGUCUCAAGCGUUGUUCGGAUUCAUUGGGCGUAAAGGGUGCGUAGGUGGCGCUGUAAGUCGGGUGUGAAAUUUCGGAGCUUAACUCCGAAACUGCAUUCGAUACUGCGGUGCUUGAGGACUGGAGAGGAGACUGGAAUUCAUGGUGUAGCAGUGAAAUGCGUAGAGAUCAUGAGGAAGACCAGUGGCGAAGGCGGGUCUCUGGACAGUUCCUGACACUGAGGCACGAAGGCCAGGGGAGCAAACCGG
rnacentral:rRNA from 1 species